UGCCCCGUGGCGUAACGGUAACGCACCUGAUUCUGGCUCAGGAGCUGCAGGUUCGAUUCCUGCCGGGGCAUCCC
rnacentral:tRNA from 1 species